UCUCAUCAUCCGCACACUAAUCCCGACUCAAUGUGCGAGCAUGACCGCUGAAGCUCCACUUGUCCACCCGCCAGCUUCUAUGUCAACUUUCCUUCAGUGAGAUGCAAAUAAUGAGCAUCUCCGUCCCCUCCUGCUCUUCUCGCUGCCCGCAGCAGAAGUAUCCUUAUCCGUACGCCUCCCAAGCCAUAUCACCAAUCCGAGUCCUGUCGGUCGUUUUCGUGAAGAGAAGCCAGUGCUUCCCAUGUAUCUUCGCCGCCAGGCAGCAGCAGGAAGCAGAUAAACCUAUGAAGAAGAAGCCGAGAAAGCGGAAAGCACCAGAGAAGUCUCAUAUUGAUGGAGCUGACGUGGACUUCGAGUUUGAGGCUCCGGAGGCAGGCCUACGAAGUAGCCAUCUCUCGCCUCUCCCUAAGCCGCCUGCAGGAUUCGUGCUCGAUGAUCACGGCAGGGUCCUCUUGGACUCCAACAAACGAAUAACCACCAUUGUUGAUGCUAAAAACAACUUGCCCUUAGAAUGUGUUAUAAGGAGAGUAUUCCAAAGUUUUCAAGGAUAUGAAUGCAUGCUGCUUUGCCCAGUUGAUACGCCAGUGCAGAUCUUGAGGAGUACAAAUUUUAAUGGAUGGUCAGCUGUAAAUGAUGAUGAAGUUGAGGCUAUCAUUCCUUCAGCCGCAUAUGCGCUUGCCAAAAUCCAUAUGCAUCUUGUAGUUAGUGGGUUUUGCUAUACUGCGAGGGGAGGUUUUUGUUAUUCUGAGGAGGACAUAAUCGAAUUUCGCACAGAUGACGGUCAAGAGAUUGAUGGCUUGCCAACGGAAGGUUUAGAGAUAACAUGCUUCAACUUGGACGGGACACAUUAUAUGAUAUAUACGCCUUCCGAGCCAUUACUUUUUGUUGCCAUAAAGGAUGAGAAUGGGAUUUUGCAAAUUGCUGAGGAUGAUCUAUUGGAGGACCCUUCCAUCAUCAGUGCCAUAGACGAAGAAACAGAAUUCAAUGCAUUAGUGGUAAGGGAAAGGAGCCCGUAGGGCACUAGGCGAGAAAGAAGUGAUCGUUCGUUUUUGGUGUAAAUAUGUUUUGGUGUAUAAAGAGACCUUAGAGGAGAUCUUAAGGAUUUCUGUAUAAACCUUUUUAUAUUUGGUGUUAGAGGGUGAGUCAACUGGGGUGUGACAUCAAGUCUGAAUUUGUUGUUGGCUAGACUUGCUGUCUACCUCCUCUCAAGCCCUCAAACCUCCACCGGAGCUUUGUAUCUCCUGUUCCUUUGGGAAGAAGAAGCUGCACUUCUUGAAUCUUUAAUGAGAGAUGGGUGACCAAGACUGCAAGCUGUAUCUACUAGAAAGAAGAAUUUUUACCAUUCUGUUUUAUUGAAGUUAUUUUCAAUCUUAGGGUGAUUGCUGUGAGCGAAAAUGAGUAUUUUUUAUUUCUUAUCUUGUAUAUUUUAAAUAUCUUAGUAGUCUACGUGCAGUCAAUAAAAAAUUUACUUUCAUGUAGUCCACUUGGUUAUUAGUCAGAAGUCUUAAAAUAAAUUUAUUUUACAUUUCUAUGUUUGUUAAUUUUUAUGCUCAAAUUAAUUGAUUGGGAAAUUCGUUAUUCGGAUGACCCGCAAAUUUGGAGA